rnacentral:rRNA from 1 species
CUGAUCGGCCACAUUGGGACUGAGACACGGCCCAAAUUCCUACGGGAGGCUGCAGUAGGGAAUCUUCCACAAUGGGCGAAAGCCUGAUGGAGCAACGCCGCGUGUGUGAUGAAGGCUUUCGGGUCGUAAAGCACUGUUGUAUGGGAAGAAAAGUUAAGGUAGGGAAUGACCUUAGCCUGACGGUACCAUACCAGAAAGGGACGGCUAAAUACGUGCCAGCAGCCGCGGUAAUACGUAUGUCCCGAGCGUUAUCCGGAUUUAUUGGGCGUAAAGCGAGCGCAGACGGUUGGUUAAGUCUGAUGUGAAAGCCCGGAGCUCAACUCCGGAAAGGCAUUGGAAACUGGUUAACUUGAGUGCAGUAGAGGUAAGUGGAACUCCAUGUGUAGCGGUGGAAUGCGUAGAUAUAUGGAAGAACACCAGCGGCGAAGGCGGCUUACUGGACUGUAACUGACGUUGAGGCUCGAAAGUGUGGGUAGCAAACAGGAUUAGAUACCCUGGUAGUCCACACCGUAAACGAUGAACACUAGGUGUUAGGAGGUUUCCGCCUCUUAGUGCCGAAGCUAACGCAUUAAGUGUUCCGCCUGGGGAGUACGACCGCAAGGUUGAAACUCAAAGGAAUUGACGGGGACCCGCACAAGCGGUGGAGCAUGUGGUUUAAUUCGAAGCAACGCGAAGAACCUUACCAGGUCUUGACAUCCUUUGAAGCUUUUAGAAAUAGAAGUGUUCUCUUCGGAGACAAAGUGACAGGUGGUGCAUGGUCGUCGUCAGCUCGUGUCGUGAGAUGUUGGGUUAAGUCCCGCAACGAGCGCAACCCUUAUUGUUAGUUGCCAGCAUUCAGAUGGGCACUCUAGCGAGACUGCCGGUGACAAACCGGAGGAAGGCGGGGACGACGUCAGAUCAUCAUGCCCCUUAUGACCUGGGCUACACACGUGCUACAAUGGCGUAUACAACGAGUUGCCAACCUGCGAAGGUGAGCUAAUCUCUUAAAGUACGUCUCAGUUCGGACUGCAGUCUGCAACUCGACUGCACGAAGUCGGAAUCGCUAGUAAUCGCGGAUCAGCACGCCGCGGUGAAUACGUUCCCGGGUCUUGUACACACCGCCCGUCACACCAUGGAAGUUUGUAAUGCCCAAAGCCGGUGGCCUAACCGUAAGGAGGGAACC